rnacentral:rRNA from 1 species
AGUGAACGCUGGCGGUAGGCCUAACACAUGCAAGUCGAACGGCAGCACAGUAAGAGCUUGCUCUUACGGGUGGCGAGUGGCGGACGGGUGAGGAAUACAUCGGAAUCUACUUUUUCGUGGGGGAUAACGUAGGGAAACUUACGCUAAUACCGCAUACGACCUACGGGUGAAAGCAGGGGAUCUUCGUACCUUGCGCGAUUGAAUGAGCCGAUGUCGGAUUAGCUAGUUGGCGGGGUAAAGGCCCACCAAGGCGACGAUCCGUAGCUGGUCUGAGAGGAUGAUCAGCCACAAUGGAACUGAGACACGGUCCAGACUCCUACGGGAGGCAGCAGUGGGGAAUAUUGGACAAUGGGCGCAAGCCUGAUCCAGCCAUACCGCGUGGGUGAAGAAGGCCUUCGGGUUGUAAAGCCCUUUUGUUGGGAAAGAAAAGCAGCAGGUUAAUACCCCGCUGUUCUGACGGUACCCAAAGAAUAAGCACCGGCUAACUUCGUG